GUAGGUGGCAAGCGUUGUCCGGAAUUAUUGGGCGUAAAGCGCGCGCAGGCGGUUCUUUAAGUCUGAUGUGAAAGCCCACGGGCUCAACCGUGGAGGGUCAUCGGAAACUGGAGAACUUGAGUACAGAAGAGGAAAGCGGAAUUCCACGUGUAGCGGUGAAAUGCGUAGAGAUGUGGAGGAACACCAGUGGCGAAGGCGGCUUUCUGGUCUGUAACUGACGCUGAGGCGCGAAAGCGUGGGGAGCAAACGGGAUUAGAUACCCUGGUAGUCCACGCCGUAAACGAUGAGUGCUAAGUGUUAGGGGGUUUCCGCCCCUUAGUGCUGCAGCUAACGCAUUAAGCACUCCGCCUGGGGAGUACGGCCGCAAAGGCUGA
rnacentral:rRNA from 1 species